rnacentral:rRNA from 1 species
UACGGGGGGUGCGAGCGUUGUCCGGAAUCACUGGGCGUAAAGGGCGCGUAGGUGGUUUGAUAAGGGUGUGGUGAAAGUCCGGAGCUCAACUCCGGAUCUGCCGUGCCGACUGUCAAACUCGAGGGCUGUAGAGGCAGACGGAAUUCCGGGUGUAGCGGUGGAAUGCGUAGAGAUCCGGAGGAAGACCGGUGGCGAAGGCGGUCUGCUGGGCAGGUUCUGACACUGAUGCGCGACAGCGUGGGGAGCAAACAGG